UAUUUAAAACGACGCAGAUUAACUGCAAUUUAGUUUGGGUGAGACGACAAUUGACUAUGGACAGUUUGCCACAGCCACAGCAACAGCAACCACACGCAACUGGACUGACUGAACCGCUAGCCAAAGCACGAACAUUAGUUAGCCGACCUCCCGCAGAACUCGUGCCGCCAGAUCAAGCUGCCGUGUAAGCGUGAAGGAAGGUCUCACCGGGAAGCGGCUCCUCCUAUCAUCCCUUCUCACCUACCGCCCGGUAUCAAACCACACCGGAGCCCCGCGAGCAGCGACCGUUUACCCGCACGGCAACCGCCGCCGGAACUGACGUCACCGGAGGGCUCUCGUCGGUGAGGGGGACCCUAGGCGUCGACAAGAAGGAGCAGAGGAGGGGGAAAUCGUCAGGGAGGACAAACAGAAGCUUGGAAUGGGCAAGUGAGAAGGUAUUGACCAGGUCUCACUGUAUUUGGACAUGGACUGCCUUACAGAAAUCAAAAAAUGGUGCUGAACAUUGCUGAUGACUGCACAAACAUCCCCAUUUCUGAAUUUAUAAUGGAGCGGAUUGUCGCAGUUUUACCUCUUCCUUUCCUAAGUAAUGGCCACACAGAUUGCAAUGCUCUUGGAGACGCUAUAGUUACCUACUCUGAGAAGGCGUGCCCAGCUUCCGAUGUGUCACACGAGCCACUCCUCAUGGUCAGAAACCAGAAGCUAAUUUAAAGCAACUCCGGAGCAUGUGCAGCACGGAAAAGUGGAGCAUUUUGGAGUUUUUACAUGGCACAGAAAUGAGAAACGAUGGUUCUUAACUAGUGUCAUUUCGUUCGAAAACCUAAAGAAUUAAACUUUAAAUAUUUAUGUUCUUUGUAGUUUAUGCCUACAUAAUAUUUAAUUCUUGAUGCAGUAAAAAAUCUGUUUGGAUCUUAAGAUCCUAGUUGAUGAAAAUACCAGAUAAUUCAGAAUGAAAUCUGGCUGUAUGUUUUAUUUUAGCAAUGUGAUUAUGAUAGUUGUCACUUAAAACAGUAACAUGUCUUUUCAACAAAAUAACAAAAAUUAUUACACGUGAAAGGGGGGGGGGGAAGAAAGAACCACACACAAUAACUGGUUGAAAUAGAUUUAUUACACCUGUCAAAAAUAAGGAUUAAACCUUUCUACCUCAAUAAUUGAAGGGGUUAUGAGUUUAAUAACACAAAUAAAGAUACCUAAGAUGCACUUUUUAUAUUCAGGUUAACUUCUGACAUUAAUCCCUUGUGAUUAUACUAAAUGAAUAUUUUGACUAGCCCACCCAUAAGUAUUGAUUACUAAUAAUGGAUUUUUAAAUAUUAGUAAAUUUUCUCUGGAAAAAAAACUAAGUGGCAGAGAAAU